GGAGGGUCCAAGCGUUAUCCGGAUUUAUUGGGGUUUAAAGGGGUGCGUAGGCGGAAUUGUAAGUCAGAGGUGAAAGCCCACAGCUUAACUGUGGAACUGCCUUUGAUACUGCUAUUCUUGAGUUCAGAUGAGGUGGGCGGAAUGUGACAUGUAGCGGUGAAAUGCAUAGAUAUGUCACAGAACACCGAUUGCGAAGGCAGCUUACUAAACUGACACUGACGCUGAGGCACGAAAGCGUGGGGAGCGAACAGGAUUAGAUACCCUGGUAGUCCACGCCGUAAACGAUGAUUACUCGACGCGUGCAAUACAUAGUACGUGUCCAAGCGAAAGCGUUAAGUAAUCCACCUGGGGAGUACGAUCGCAAAGGUUGA
rnacentral:rRNA from 1 species